AUGAUUCCAGGACCUGGAAUCAUACCAGCCGAUGGAUCAACCUGGCAGUCAUGUCGGGUUUGGCCGGGUCAACCUUUACUAGACCCAUGCCCGAUUACUCUAUCGGGUCUAUCUUGCACCCACGACCCUACCCAUGGAAGACAUAGACGUUGUAUUGUGCAUGCAGCGUUCAGUCCUGGCAACAUAAACCAGCGGUCUCCAUUUUAUAGACGGGGCUCCCCCUCCCAUGUGCUCGAACAGGCGAGCGCUCUGUGCAUGGGCCACUUGCUAAAGUCCAAGAAGGAUUGGCCGGUGCUGUCGGCUGGCGUCAAGUUUGAUCCCACGGAUCAGGAGCUGAUCAAGCACCUUAAGGCCAAAGUGAGUGCUGACAGCGCGAGAUCUCACCCUCUCAUCGAUUUGUUCAUACCAACCAUCGACAGCGAGCACGGCAUAUGUUACACCCAUCCUGAGAAACUUCUAGAUGUUAUGAAAAUGCCAACUACGUACACUAAAACCCGUAUUCGACAAUACUGUAGGUAUCACACUAAGUGGCCUAAGAAGCAUUUCUUCCAGUGCAAUUCUAGGGCGUUCAAAAGAGGGACGUGGACGCGUCGCAAGAUACAGUCAGAGUGUGGCAUGCACGCGAUGUGGCACAAGACCGGCAAUACCUUGUCGGUGAUGGUCAACGGCCGGCAGACGGGCAGCAAAAAGGUUCUAGUGCUGCACACCAACAACAACUUUGACCAGCAGAGGACCAACUGGGUGAUGCACUAG
rnacentral:rRNA from 1 species